rnacentral:rRNA from 1 species
AACGAACGCUGGCGGCGUGGAUAAGACAUGCAAGUCGAACGCCAAUCCCAGGGUAGCAAUAUUCUGUGGUUGGAGUGGCGCAAGGGUGCGUAACACGUGGGUAAUUUGCCGUGAAGUUGGGGAUAACUCGCUGAAAGGCGAGCUAAUACCGGAUGUGAAAAUCGGAGGGCAUCCUCUGGUUUUUAAAGUUGGGGACCGCAAGGCCUGACGCUUCACGAUAAGCCCGCGGCCUAUCAGCUAGUUGGCGAGGUAACGGCUCACCAAGGCUAAGACGGGUAGCUGGUCUGAGAGGACGACCAGCCUCACUGGAACUGAGACACGGUCCAGACACCUACGGGUGGCAGCAGUCGAGAAUUUUUCUCAAUGGGCGAAAGCCUGAAGGAGCGACGCCGCGUGGGGGAUGAAGGGCUUCGGCCCGUAAACCCCUGUCAUUUGCGAACAAACCCCGUGACCUAACACGUUCCGGGCUGAUUGUAGCGAAAGAGGAAGGGACGGCUAACUCUGUGCCAGCAGCCGCGGUAAUACAGAGGUCCCAAGCGUUGUUCGGAUUCACUGGGCGUAAAGGGUGCGUAGGUGGCGGGAUAAGUUUGACGUGAAAUCUCCGGGCUUAACCCGGAAACUGCGUUGAAUACUAUCUUGCUCGAGGUUUGGAGGGGGGACUGGAAUUCUCGGUGUAGCAGUGAAAUGCGUAGAUAUCGAGAGGAACACCAGUGGCGAAGGCGAGUCCCUGGACAACACCUGACACUGAGGCACGAAAGCUAGGGGAGCAAACAGGAUUAGAUACCCUGGUAGUCCUAGCCGUAAACGGUGCAUAUUUGCUGUGAAAGGAAUCGACCCCUUUUGUGGCGUAGCCAACGCGUUAAAUAUGCCGCCUGGGAAGUACGGUCGCAAGAUUA